UACAGAGGGUGCGAGCGUUAAUCGGAAUUAUUGGGCGUAAAGGGCGUGUAGGCGGAUAUUUAAGUUAGGUGUGAAAUACUUGGGCUCAACCUGGGGACUGCAUCUAAAACUGGAUAUCUAGAGUAUAGUAGAGGGAAGUGGAAUUUCCGGAGUAGCGGUGGAAUGCAUAGAUACCGGAAGGAACAUCAGUGGCGAAGGCGGCUUCCUGGACUAAUACUGACGCUGAGGCGCGAAAGCAUGGGUAGCAAACAGGAUUAGAUACCCUGGUAGUCCAUGCUGUAAACGAUGAGAACUAGGCGUUGGGAUUUCGAUCUUAGUGCCGCAGCUAACGCGAUAAGUUCUCCGCCUGGGGAGUACGGCCGCAAGGUUA
rnacentral:rRNA from 1 species